rnacentral:rRNA from 1 species
UAGGGAAUCUUCCGCAAUGGACGCAAGUCUGACGGAGCAACGCCGCGUGAGUGAAGAGGGAUUUCGGUUCGUAAAACUCUGUUGUUAGAGAAGAACAGCGCAUAGAGUAACUGUUAUGCGUGUGACGGUAUCUAACCAGAAAGCCACGGCUAACUACGUGCCAGCAGCCGCGGUAAUACGUAGGUGGCAAGCGUUGUCCGGAUUUAUUGGGCGUAAAGCGAGCGCAGGCGGUCAAUUAAGUCUGAUGUGAAAGCCCCCGGCUCAACCGGGGAGGGUCAUUGGAAACUGGUUGACUUGAGUGCAGAAGAGGAGAGUGGAAUUCCAUGUGUAACGGUGAAAUGCGUAGAUAUAUGGAGGAACACCAGUGGCGAAGGCGACUCUCUGGUCUGUAACUGACGCUGAGGCUCGAAAGCGUGGGUAGCAAACAGG